CCUACGUGAGGCAGCAGUGAGGAAUAUUGGUCAAUGGACGGAAGUCUGAACCAGCCAUGCCGCGUGCAGGAAGACGGCUCUAUGAGUUGUAAACUGCUUUUGUACAAGGGUAAACCUGAAUACUUGUAUUCAUCUCAAAUUACUGUACGAAUAAGGAUCGGCUAACUCCGUUCCAGCAGCCGCGGUAAUACGGAGGAUCCAAGCGUUAUCCGGAUUUAUUGGGUUUAAAGGGUGCGUAGGCGGAUUGAUAAGUUAGAGGUGAAAUGUCCGGGCUUAACUCGGGAACUGCCUCUAAUACUGGUGAUCUAGAGAGUAGAUGCGGGAGGCGGAAUGUAUGGUGUAGCGGUGAAAUGCUUAGAGAUCAUACAGAACACCGAUUGCGAAGGCAGCUUACCAAUCUAUAUCUGACGUUGAGGCACGAAAGCGUGGGGAGCAAACAGGAUUAGAUACCCCUGUAGUC
rnacentral:rRNA from 1 species